rnacentral:tRNA from 1 species
UGUUAGAGAAGUGCAUUGGUUAGCAUGUUAGGUUCAUGCCCUAAAGUUUGUAGGUUCGAAUCCUGCCUCUGACAU